rnacentral:rRNA from 1 species
AUUGAACGCUGGCGGCAGGCCUAACACAUGCAAGUCGAGCGGAUGAAGGGAGCUUGCUCCUGGAUUCAGCGGCGGACGGGUGAGUAAUGCCUAGGAAUCUGCCUUGUAGUGGGGGAUAACGUCCGGAAACGGGCGCUAAUACCGCAUCCGUCCUGAGGGAGAAAGUGGGGGAUCUUCGGACCUCACGCUAUCAGCUGAGCCUAGGUCGGAUUAGCUAGUUGGUGGGGUAAAGGCCUACCAAGGCGACGAUCCGUAACUGGUCUGAGAGGAUGAUCAGUCACACUGGAACUGAGACACGGUCCAGACUCCUACGGGAGGCAGCAGUGGGGAAUAUUGGACAAUGGGCGAAAGCCUGAUCCAGCCAUGCCGCGUGUGUGAAGAAGGUCUUCGGAUUGUAAAGCACUUUAAGUUGGGAGGAAGGGCAGUAAGUUAAUACCUGGCUGUUUUGACGUUACCAACAGAAUAAGCACCGGCUAACUUCGUG